UUGCCUACGGGAGGCAGCAGUGGGGGAUAUUGCACAAUGGGGGAAACCCUGAUGCAGUGACGCCGCGUGAGUGAAGAAGUAAUUCGUUAUGUAAAGCUCUAUCAGCAGGGAAGGAACAGACGGUACCUGAGUAAGAAGCCCCGGCUAACUACGUGCCAGCAGCCGCGGUAAUACGUAGGGGGCAAGCGUUAUCCGGAUUUACUGGGUGUAAAGGGAGCGUAGACGGCGAAGAAAGUCUGCAGUGAAAGCCAGCGGCUUAACCGCGGAACUGCUUUGGAAACUUUUUUGCUGGAGUACCGGUGAGG
rnacentral:rRNA from 1 species